UACAGAGGGUGCGAGCGUUAAUCGGAAUUACUGGGCGUAAAGCGUGCGCAGGCGGUCUUUUAAGUCAGAUGUGAAAUCCCCGGGCUUAACCUGGGAACUGCGUCUGAUACUGGAUGGCUUGAAUCCGGGAGAGGGAUGCAGAAUUCCAGGUGUAGCGGUGAAAUGCGUAGAUAUCUGGAGGAAUACCGGUGGCGAAGGCGGCAUCCUGGACCGGCAUUGACGCUGAGGAGCGAAAGCCAGGGGAGCAAACGGG
rnacentral:rRNA from 1 species